rnacentral:lncRNA from 1 species
UUAUGGGAUGCCUUAAAACAUAUUACUAAAUAAAAAUAAAUUAUUAACCGAUUUUCAAAUUUAGUUCUUUUGUAAAAUUUAUAUAUAUGUAUGUGAUUUUAAAAUAUUAUCAUUAUAUUCAUUUAUGUAAUUUUGAAUCAAUCAACCCUUUAAUUUAUUUUUCUAUUUGAUUUUCAAAAACAAAAAGUAUAUAUAUAUAUAUAUAUAUAUUAAGUUAUACAUAACCUUAAUAAAAUUUAUUUACAUAUCUAAUACAACAACCAACCUAAAUUCAAUUGACAAAAUUAAUCAAAUUUUUAAGGAGGAAUUUGCCAAAUGAAUUAGGACUUGAAUUUGAAUGCAAAGCUAUACCUACCUCAAAUCAAUCAAAUGCAAAAGUAGUAGUAAAAUUACAAUUAUCUCUCUUUAUGACAAAAGAAACUUGUAAACAUUUUACGAUAAUAGUCUUUGGAAGUCUUCUCUAACAAUGAGGUCAUCUCUAAACAAUGGGAGAAGACUUCUUACUAUUAAAAACCAAAAUCUAAAAACAAAAACCAAAAAUUAGAAAUCAAAAUCACCAUUCGUAUUUUUUCCAAAAACUAAAAUCUACUACCAAAUCAAAAACCAAAAAUUAAUUAAAAACCAAAAUCUAAAAACUAAAAAACAAAAAAAAAACUAAAAUCUAAAAACCAUCUAAACAAUCAUCACCUUAACAUUCUUAAAAUAGAUUAGGGAAUUCCUAGGAUCUACUUUUUGCAGAUGGUAGCUUAUUUUCUAUAAAGAAAAUACAAAAGAAAGUUUGGUUAUCUUAAUUUUCGAAAAAUAUGAAAAUGUGUCGGGACAACAAAUAAAUUUUAGAAAAUCGGCUAUACAAUUAGGCUAUAAGGUAUAGAAUCUCCUAAACUAUAUUUGCGAAGUGAUUUUGCCACAUGUCC